AACGCACAUUGCGCCCUCUGGUAUUCCGGAGGGCAUGCCUGUUCGAGCGUCAUUACACCACUCAAGCCUCGCUUGGUAUUGGGCGCCGCGGUCGACGCGCGCCUCAAUUUCACCGGCCGAGCACCCGAUCUCCGAGCGUAGAAGAAUCAUUUUCGCUCUCGAGUUGAGGGGACUCGCGCCGUUAAGCCUUUUUUAACAAGGUUGACCUCGGAUCAGGUAGGGAUACCCGCUGAACUUAA
rnacentral:misc_RNA from 1 species